GAGGGUAUAGCUCAAGUGGUAGAGUGCUGGCUUAGCAUGCAUGAGGUCCUGGGUCCGAUCCCCAGCACCUCCA
rnacentral:tRNA from 1 species